GACGAACGCUGGCGGCGUGCUUAACACAUGCAAGUCGAACGGAAAGGCCCUGCUUUUGUGGGGUGCUCGAGUGGCGAACGGGUGAGUAACACGUGAAUAACCUGCCCUUGACUUUGGGAUAACUUCAGGAAACUGGGGCUAAUACCGGAUAGGAUCUCCUGCUGCAUUGUGGGGGUUGGAAAGUUUCGGCGGUUGGGGAUGGACUGGCGGCUUAUCAGCUUGCUGGUUGGGUAGUUGCUUACCAAGGCUUUGACGGGUAGCCGGCCUGUGAGGGUGAACGGCCACAAUGGGACUGAGGUACGGCCCAGACUCCUACGGGAGGCAGCAGGGGGGAAUAUUGCACAAUGGGCGGAAGCCUGAUGCAGCAACGCCGCGUGCGGGAUGACGGCCUUCGGGUUGUAAACCGCUUUCGCCUGUGACGAAGCGUGAGUGACGGUAAUGGGUAAAGAAGCACCGGCUAACUACGUG
rnacentral:rRNA from 1 species